GACGAACGCUGGCGGCGUGCUUAACACAUGCAAGUCGAACGGAAAGGCCCUGCUUUUGUGGGGUGCUCGAGUGGCGAACGGGUGAGUAACACGUGAGUAACCUGCCCUUGACUUUGGGAUAACUUCAGGAAACUGGGGCUAAUACCGGAUAGGAGCUCCUGCUGCAUGGUGGGGGUUGGAAAGUUUCGGCGGUUGGGGAUGGACUCGCGGCUUAUCAGCUUGUUGGUGGGGUAGUGGCUUACCAAGGCUUUGACGGGUAGCCGGCCUGAGAGGGUGACCGGCAAAAUGGGAACUGGGAUCCGGCCCGACUCCUUACGGAGGGCAGCGGUGGGAAUUAUGGCACAUGGGCGGAAGGCUUGAUGCGGAACCGCGGCGGGCGGAUGAAGGCCCUCGGGGUGGAAACCCGCUUUGGCUGGGACGAAGCGGGAGGUAAGGUAAAUGGUAAAGAAGCACCGGCUAACUACGUG
rnacentral:rRNA from 1 species